GACGAACGCUGGCGGCGUGCUUAACACAUGCAAGUCGAGCGGUAAGGCCCUUUCGGGGGUACACGAGCGGCGAACGGGUGAGUAACACGUGGGUGACCUGCCCUUAGCUCUGGGAUAAGCCUGGGAAACUGGGUCUAAUACCGGAUAUGACUCCAUGACGCAUGUUGUGGGGUGGAAAGCCUUGUGCGGCUAGGGAUGGGCCCGCGGCCUAUCAGCCUGUUGGUGGGGUGAUGGCCACCAAGGCGACGACGGGUAGCCGGCCUGAGAGGGCGACCGGCCACACUGGGACUGAGACACGGCCCAGACUCCUACGGGAGGCAGCAGUGGGGAAUCUUGCGCAAUGGGCGAAAGCCUGACGCAGCGACGCCGCGUGGGGA
rnacentral:rRNA from 1 species